UACAGAGGAUGCAAGCGUUAUCCGGAAUGAUUGGGCGUAAAGCGUCUGUAGGUGGCUUUUUAAGUCCGCCGUCAAAUCCCAGGGCUCAACUCUGGACAGGCGGUGGAAACUACCAAGCUGGAGUACGGUAGGGGCAGAGGGAAUUUCCGGUGGAGCGGUGAAAUGCGUAGAUAUCUGGAGGAACACCGGUGGCGAAGGCGACAUCCUGGACCGGUAUUGACGCUGAGGCGCGAAGGCCAGGGGAGCAAACGGG
rnacentral:rRNA from 1 species